AUCGAUGGACACCGUGCCGCCCCUGAUCGAUGGACACCGUGCCGCCCCUGAUCGAUGGACACCGUGCCGCCCCUGAUCGAUGGACACCGUGCCGCCCCUGAUCGAUGGACACCGUGCCGCCCCUGAUCGAUGGACACCGUGCCGCCCCUGAUCGAUGGACACCGUGCCGCCCCUGAUCGAUGGACACCGUGACAUCAUCAACGUCCCGGGACGACAUGGUGGCAACAUAACAAUGUGUGAGGCUGUUAGUCAUGUAAAUCUAGGCCCAUACAGCCACUGCACACAUUAUCACAUUUCAGGACCCCCUCCACAACAGACUAAUCCCUAAUGACCAGGGACCAGAGCAGACCAGGUACAUUAUCACAUUUCAGGACCCCCUCCACAACAGACUAAUCCCUAAUGACCAGGGACCAGAGCAGACCAGGUACAUUAUCACAUUUCAGGACCCCCUCCACAACAGACUAAUCCCUAAUGACCAGGGACCAGAGCAGCCCAGGUACAUUAUCACAUUUCAGGACCCCCUCCACAACAGACUAAUCCCUAAUGACCAGGGACCAGAGCAGACCAGGUACAUUAUCACAUUUCAGGACCCCCUCCACAACAGACUAAUCCCUAAUGACCAGGGACCAGAGCAGCCCAGGUACAUUAUCACAUUUCAGGACCCCCUCCACAACAGACUAAUCCCUAAUGACCAGGGACCAGAGCAGACCAGGUACAUUAUCACAUUUCAGGACCCCCUCCACAACAGACUAAUCCCUAAUGACCAGGGACCAGAGCAGACCAGGUACAUUAUCACAUUUCAGGACCCCCUCCACAACAGACUAAUCCCUAAUGACCAGGGACCAGAGCAGACCAGGUACAUUAUCACAUUUCAGGACCCCCUCCACAACAGACUAAUCCCUAAUGACCAGGGACCAGAGCAGACCAGGUACAUUAUCACAUUUCAGGACCCCCUCCACAACAGACUAAUCCCUAAUGACCAGGGACCAGAGCAGACCAGGUACAUUAUCACAUUUCAGGACCCCCUCCACAACAGACUAAUCCCUAAU